rnacentral:rRNA from 1 species
UACGUAGGGUCCGAGCGUUGUCCGGAAUUAUUGGGCGUAAAGGGCUCGUAGGCGGUUCGUCACGUCGGGAGUGAAAACUCGGGGCUCAACCCCGAGCCUGCUUCCGAUACGGGCGGACUAGAGGUAGGUAGGGGAGAACGGAAUUCCUGGUGUAGCGGUGGAAUGCGCAGAUAUCAGGAGGAACACCGGUGGCGAAGGCGGUUCUCUGGGCCUUACCUGACGCUGAGGAGCGAAAGCGUGGGGAGCGAACAGG